rnacentral:lncRNA from 1 species
AUGAGGAAAGACAUGACUGAAAGGAUUAAAGGGAAUAUGGCUCGAAGCUCACACAAGGCAGAGAGAAUGCUAUCAAAUGGAAACAUGGAUCUACAUAAAGGCAUGGUGUAUUUUACGUCACUGUCUUCGUUGGAAUUGAAGCAAACCAAAAUAGGACCAGAUACAAUGUACCUCUGGAACUAGAUGAUCCAGCCAUACCAACCGUUUUAGAACAGGUGCUUUUCUCUCUUCAAAGGUAAUAAAAUAGGUAAAUAACAAAUGUAAAGUACUAAC